rnacentral:ncRNA from 10 species
AGAAAUCAAAUAAGAUGAAUUCGUAUAAUCGCGGGAAUAUGGCUCGCAAGUCUCUACCAAGCUACCGUAAAUGGCUUGACUACGUAAACAUUUCUUUCGU